UACAGAGGGGGCAAGCGUUGUUCGGAAUUACUGGGCGUAAAGGGCGCGUAGGUGGCCUUCUAAGUCGAACGUGAAAUCCCCGGGCUCAACCCGGGAACUGCGUCCGAUACUGGAAGGCUUGAAUCCGGGAGAGGGAUGCGGAAUUCCGAGGUGUAGCGGUGAAAUGCGUAGAUAUCUGGAGGAACACCGGUGGCGAAGGCGGCGAUCCUGGACCGGUAUUGACGCUGAGGCGCGAAAGC
rnacentral:rRNA from 1 species